rnacentral:rRNA from 1 species
UAAGGAAUAUUGGUCAAUGGACGGAAGUCUGAACCAGCCAUGCCGCGUGCAGGAAGACGGCCCUAUGGGUUGUAAACUGCUUUUGCAGGGGAAUAAACCUCGAUACGUGUAUCGAGCUGAAUGUACUCUGAGAAUAAGGAUCGGCUAACUCCGUG